UGGCCGCGCGGGGCAUAUUCCCUCCUCCCUUUCCGGAGCAAGUGGAGUGGGAGGAGUGAAGUGACGGCUGCGCCUACCUUAUCUCAAUGCCGCGGAGGGGGCGCUGCACCUGCGUCCCUGUGCAUCAAUCCCGACUUUGCGUGUUUUCUGUGCGGACGGAGGAAGGGGCUUCUCUGCAAGAUUCUGGCUCCCACCCAGAGGCUGGAAAGCAAAGCAUAGAGUUCCCAACCUCCCUUGCAGCUAGGAGUGGCAACGAAACAAAGUUCUGGCCAAUAAGAUGUAGACAGAAGUCUGAAGGGAGAUCCUCUCUUCCAGAAUAAAAAGGAAGUCUUUGGAGACACCUGUGACCUUCCCCUUCCCCUGACUUCAUUCAUGGAAUUGAGGCACGACACCUGGAGGUGCAGCAGUCAUCUUGAGACCACGAGGAGGACUGUGCUAAGGAAGGUGGAACAGAAAGAUAAAAGAAGCCUGGUUCUUGAGGACAUACUCAAGCAGCCGCACAAACACUGGACUCCCUUCCUGUUUAUGAGAGGGGGAAAAUCUUAUUUAGACCACAGUUUGUUGAGUUAUAUGUUACUUUCAACCAAACACAUUUCUAAUAUAAUAAAUAUUGAAUACCUCUAA